rnacentral:tRNA from 1 species
GCGGUAGUAGCUCAAUUGGUAGAGCAUCGCGUUGCCAUCGCGAAGGUUGCGAGUUCGAGACUCGUCUACCGCUCCA